GGCGAACGGGUGAGUAACACGUGGGUGAUCUGCCCUGCACUUCGGGAUAAGCUUGGGAAACUGGGUCUAAUACCGGAUAGGAGCCAUCUGUAGUGUGGUGGUUGGAAAGUUUUUCGGUGUAGGAUGAGCUCGCGGCCUAUCAGCUUGUUGGUGGGGUAAUGGCCUACCAAGGCGGCGACGGGUAGCCGGACUGAGAGGUUGGUCGGCCACAUUGGGACUGAGAUACGGCCCAG
rnacentral:rRNA from 1 species